rnacentral:tRNA from 1 species
AAGAUUUUAAGUUAAUAAAACUAUUAGCCUUCAAAGUUAUAAAUAAAAAUUAAAAUUUUUUAAGUCUUA